rnacentral:rRNA from 1 species
GACGAACGCUGGCGGCGUGCUUAACACAUGCAAGUCGAACGGAAAGGCCCUGCUUUUGUGGGGUGCUCGAGUGGCGAACGGGUGAGUAACACGUGAGUAACCUGCCCUUGACUGUGGGAUAACUUCAGGAAACUGGGGCUAAUACCGGAUAGGAGCUCCUGCUGCAUGGUGGGGGUUGGAAAGUUUCGGCGGUUGGGGAUGGACUCGCGGCUUAUCAGCUUGUUGGUGGGGUAGUGGCUUACCAAGGCUUUGACGGGUAGCCGGCCUGAGAGGGUGACCGGCCACAUGGGGACUGAGAUACGGCCCAGACUCCUACGGGAGGCAGCAGGGGGGAAUAUUGCACAAUGGGCGGAAGCCUGAUGCAGCAACGCCGCGUGCGGGAUGACGGCCUUCGGGUUGUAAACCGCUUUCGCCUGUGACGAAGCGUGAGUGACGGUAAUGGGUAAAGAAGCACCGGCUAACUACGUG